GCAAGUCCAGCUACUGGAGAGGAGCUUAGGGAUGGCUCAAAUGCAGCUGCACUGCUCACUCCUCCCAGCGCUGUCAGACCUGUGCCAGGCUGCGCUCCAAUGUCAGGUGAUGGUGGGCCCACAGGUCCAGAUGAUGCUGAGCUGGGGGUAUUCAAUGCUGAAUUGAUGCCAGUGUCUGGUCCCUCAGCCCCAGGGAGAGCUGAGUCCUCAGGAGCACCAGCUGCUGUGUCCCACGGCUGUAAUACAUCAAGGGAUGAGGACGCAGGUUCUCCUGGGGCAGCACCGAGGUCGGGACUCACUGCUGCCUCUGCUCCAUUGUUGGCCUCAAACACAGCACCAUCCACAGCAGCUGGAG